rnacentral:rRNA from 1 species
AUUGAACGCUGGCGGAAUGCUUUACACAUGCAGGUCGAACGGCAGCACGGACUUCGGUCUGGUGGCGAGUGGCGAACGGGUGAGUAAUGUAUCGGAACGUGCCCAGUCGUGGGGGAUAACGUAGUGAAAAUUACGCUAAUACCGCAUACGAUCUAUGGAUGAAAGCGGGGGAUCGCAAGACCUCGCGCGAUUGGAGCGGCCGAUAUCAGAUUAGGUAGUUGGUGGGGUAAAGGCCCACCAAGCCAACGAUCUGUAACUGGUCUGAGAGGACGACCAGCCACACUGGAACUGAGACACGGUCCAGACUCCUACGGGAGGCAGCAGUGGGGAAUUUUGGUCAAUGGGCGAAAGCCUGAUCCAGCCAUUCCGCGUGCAGGAUGAAGGCCCUCGGGUUGUAAACUGCUUUUGUACAGAACGAAAAGGUUUCUACUAAUACUAGGAGCUCAUGACGGUACUGUAAGAAUAAGCACCGGCUAACUACGUGCCAGCCGCCGCCGUAA